CGUUUGAUAGCUCAUACGGUAGAGCAGUUGACUCAUAAUCAAUGGGUAACGGGUUCGAAUCCCGUUCAAACAU
rnacentral:tRNA from 1 species